GUUCACCUUCUUUAAUGUCAAUGAUUUUGAGAUAUGUUAUUAAGCUCCAAAUUCUAAGCAAUCUUCUAUAUAUGUACAUAUAAUUGUGUAUUAUAUAUAUAUAACACACGUAUAAUAGCCAAAGUUCAACUCCCAAGUAUACGCAAAGCUUUUAUUUUCAAUUUAUGCGAUACCACUAUGUUUCAUGAAUUUAUUUGUUAACGGCAUUGUAACAAGUAACAAGCAGAGGACGAACUAUCCGUGAACUGUUUUGCCAACGAGUACGCUUCCAAUAUUUUCUGUUUGAGAAAACACGAUCUAAGGGGGGGGGGGGGGGGCAAAGCUUGUUAAUCUGGAAAGAAUACAAGCAUCAAUUUCAAGCGCUUAUAGGGAAUCAAGCGGGCUUGUUAAGGUCGUAAGUUGGACAAUUAUCCCGUGUUAGGUUCGGUCAGAUUAGUCCUACACAAAAUUGAUCCAAUCAUGUGAAAACAAAUGUAUUCUGAUUUUUGUCGCAGAUAUUUCUGGUCUACGCACUCCAGUGCCCGCACAACUGAUAUUGAAACACCUGAUUUUCCCAUAUUCUACAGCGACAAAUUUCCUGAUAUUUUACAACCAUGAAGAACUCGUACUCGAAAAUACUUGCAAUGCUCAUCUGCUUGCAGAUUAUCUUUAUCACUUUCUUCCCGUUAGGGGCUGCGUCUUUAAGAGGAAACUGUACUGAUCUCGAAGGAAAAGUUGUCUCGCAUGGAAUGAUGUAUGUGCCGGGACCUUCGAUUUGCAGUCAAUGCUUCUGUUACCAUUCGGAGCCAAAAUGGUGCCAGGCUAUCUUCUGUUCACCUCCUUUGGUAAGUAUAUGCUCAUUCUAAGAGCAACCAGCUUAACACAACCAUGAGAAACUAAAGUACACCGUUAACGCUUGCAUGCUAGUCGUUAAAACACAUGCUGCGCGAAUAGGGUACACAGCGAUUCAUUUAACUCGCCUUGAAUUAGUUUUAGAAAGACAAACAUGGACAGGGAUAAUUUUUGUCACGAGCCGUUUAAUUUAAUCGUUCAUUAGAACGAAUUAAUUUACACCUGCUGAGAUCGCGAUUGAUGUGACAAAUUCGAAAUCUUCUUCCAUAUGAAUAUUUUUAAACAAGCACGUCGUAAGCUUUGUAUAUUUUUUAAUCGCAACGAAACUGUUCAGAGAAAUGCUGAAAUUAUUAAUCUAUUCCUCUGUACAUUUGACAUUUCUGUAUUAUUACUUGUGUACUGUCUGCUCUUGUUUACGU